GCUCUCUUUCUCUCUGCGCGACGUGCAUCCCUCGCUCGCCACUCUGGUGAAAAAUUGUGACUGUACCGAAGGCGAAAAAAAAGUGCAAGUCGCCUCGGAGAAAGGGAGUGAGGGGAGAAAGAGAAAAGGGGCGAAGGGGGUGGGGAGGCAAGCGUUAUACGCAUCAAUUUGUACAGUCUUCAGUGGCACCCCCGUUUUUCCUGCAACGACUUGAAAGAGAAUUCUCCUGCGUUACAAUACCGUUACAAUGUGAUCCAGCAGCAGCCCCUGGGUAGAGAAGCGUGCGCCUCGGCGAAUGUAUGUCGGGCUGUGAUAUAGAACAACAACACAAAUAACGUAUAGAGCCGGAGACUGAGAGAGGGACACGCAUCGCUGGAUUUAUAGGGGGAGAAAGACAAGAGAAAGAAGUCGCUGCUGCGGUGCCCGUUCGUCGGUGAUGUAAGCAGUGCAACUGAAUGCUGCUCCUUUGCAUCCCAUGCAGUGGGC
ensembl:lncRNA